UGCCUGCCCCUGUCAUAGACAGUGGCCAGCCCUGAGCAGUGUUUGGCACAGGAGAGCAUCCAGAGAUUUAUGCAGCCAUUAUGUGCAAGGUAGAUUGAAACAGGAGACUUGAUGCGAUCCUGAUGAGACAGCCCCACUGUGAAUUUACAAAUGUUGACUCCGUGUAACCCAAGCACUGGGGAAAGACUCCACGCUCCACAGGCUGGAGGGCCACAUCCCUGACACUUCUAGAAAGAUGUAAAGGGCCUCUAGGAUCAGAGGAGGAUGACAUCUCCUUGGACCCCACCUGGAGCCCAGACUUCAGUGCACCGAUCACCUUGGCUUCUACCAAGCAACUGCCUUUAUUUACGAUUUUCCAGCAUAACUACAUGUGUGCCUCAUACACACAUAGACAUCAUGAAUUCAUAACGAACACACCCCUGUCAUCCAAACCCAGACCAAGAAAGAAAACAUGACCUGGACCCCAAGACCUUCUUUGGCUCCCUUCCCAGCUACGCCUCACCUCCCCCGCCCAGGACAAUAACUCUCCUGACUUCUAACCGUUCACGUUCGCUUUGUCUGUUGUUGUACUUUAUAUAAAUGGAACGCGCAGCAUGCGCUCUUGUUUCUGACUUCUUUCAUUCAACCUUCUGCUCGGGAGCUUCUUGCAUUUUGCAACGGGCUUACAGUUGUCAGUGAAUUUUGAAACCGAUCAUAUUUUUAAGGAGCUCAGAGCCAGAAUGGCGGCCACCUCUGGAAACUCCCCAGUACCAAAGAGGCGUUCUGGACACCCCUUGUCAGCUGCCCCUCGUCCAAAUUUCCCAAGGUCUUUAUUCUGCUUGCUUUUGGUGAAGUAUAAGAAUGUUUAGAACUCUCCUCAGAUCCUAUUUGAAACAAUCCAUUUUGGGAAAUAAUAAUGAGUGAAUGUCAGCCCUGACUCCCCUGGUCCAGGGCUCCUCUCUGUUCCCCAGGGAGGACCAAGAGAACGCUGAUCAUCAGUGGAGAAGAUGAGGAUGAAGGUGGAGAUGGCCAUGCAGAUGAACAGGGUGGUGACAGCUGGCCUGUGUGACAGCUUCAUCACAACACAUCUCUCUCCCUGUUUUUAAUUAAAGAAAGCAAGGCACCGAAAGGUGAAAUAUCUUGCUGGAGGCCACCCAGCUGGAAAGGGGGGAAGCUUGGAUGAGAGCCCAGCCUGAGAAAUUCAGUUCUAGAAACCCGUCUCCGCCGGCACCCAGGACGGCGCUGCGUUGCAUGGAGGGUGACUUCUGAGCCGCUGUCUUGUCAUCCCUUUCAAGGCAGAGCUCCUGGCUGGCUGCCUUCCUCCCCUUCAUCUGUUACCAAAGCCUCUGCCACACGCCUGGCUGUGGGCUCCUGAGCAUGCGUGCUGUGUGGCUGGAAUGUGGGGGAAACCGCCCACUUUAAUGCAGAUGAGCCUGGGGCGCCAGCUCCUGCAGAGCAUGCUCCUGCUGCCCUCCCCAAGGCGGAGCACUGGGCAUAAUUAUCAGUGUCUUUCAGCAGAACUACAGGCAGCCCUCAGUGGCACCCGGAGGGUUUAAUCAUAGGAGAAUCCAUACGAACCAAUCUGAGCAGACAGGAGGCCAGAAGUGCUGCUGAGGAGGACUCGCCCAGGGAUGGCCAGACCAGGGUCACUCCAACGGCCCCAGGAUCUUCACAUAUGUGAUGCUGAGCUUCACAGAGUUACCUUGCUCAUUUUUCAGGUGGAAAAACAGGUUCUUAUAGGAUGUAUCUAUUAAUGAAAGCCUGAGCCAUCCAGCUCAACUUAUCAGGACAAAGGGAACCCCAAUGUUUACCAAAGAGAAAUAUAGAGGUCCGCACUUAUCCCCAGUUUCAUUUUUCCUAGUUCAGUUAUCUACAGUCACCAGAGUCCCAGAAUAUUAAGUGGGAAAUUCCAGAAAUAAACCAUUCGUAAGUUUUAAGUUGCGUGCUCUUCUAAGUAAUGUGAAGAUAUCUCCUGCUGUCCUGCUCUAUCCAAUCCAGGAUAUGAAUCAUACUUUCUCCAGUGUGUCCAUGCUGUAUAUGCUACCUGCCCAUUAGUUACAUAGUAGCUGCCUUGGUUAUGGGAUCAAAGUUGAUAUUGCAGUGCUUGUAUUCAGGUAACUCUUAUUUUACUUAAUAGUCUCCAAAGUGCAAGAGUAGUGAUGCAGAGAUACUGUGGUACUAUGUGGCAACACUACAUAGCAUAUAGGAAAAAGAAAACACCAAACCCUAUAUUUUAUCUGUUUUAUCUAUGGCUUCAGACAUCCACUAGAGGUCUUGGAACCUGUCCCCUCUGGACACAGGAGGAUUACCAUACAGUGACUUUGCCAUGAGCUCCAGCCUGGGAUCCUGUGGACUGGAUUUCUCACAGCAGGGGCAGGGGAAAUGCAGGUUCUGCCCAAGCCAUGUCUGCAGGUGCAGCGGAAGCUGCCUGGCUGACUUCCCUCUGAGCUGGAGCAGGCCUCCUAUCUUACAGAAGCUGCUGCGGCACUUGAGAAUUACACAGAAAACAGGCUCCAACCUCCGCUCUCCCCCCUGCAUAGCAGCUAUUCCUGCCCGGGUCCCUUCCUUGGGCUUUAAUCCUUCUUACUGCUUAAUUUCGUAGUAAAUUCCAUUGACAACUGGCUUGCACUUUCUCCAGGGGCAAUAAACACCUUGUAAUUUAUAAAUCCUUCCAUCAAUUGCCUGCAGAAGGAACAAAGUAACCAAAGAGGGUGGAAAAUAAAGCAGGGCUAUCCUCCACCCUGGUGAUGCCUCAAGAAACAGAGCAGCCAGGCUCCUUCCGGCCCAGAGCUAAUGGGGUCGCCUGUCCUCCGCAAAUAAUUCCUGUUUUAACACUGAGGACUGGGAUUAAUGCAGUCCCCACUGAGCACUCCUAUGUGCCAGCCGUCUCUCAAUUAUUACCUCUAAUCCCCAGGAUAAACCUACACAGCCAGCAUUAUGAUCUCUCUUCCUACAUGCACACAGGCGAAGGCUCAGAGGGACUAAGGAGUCUGUCCAAGAUCAUGCAGUUUGCAAGCCACAGAGCCAGGAUUCAAGCCUUGCUCUAGCUGACUCUGAGCCCAAAUUGGCUCCAUGCACUUCUUAUGGACAAGGGCUUUUAAGUGUUUAUUGAUUGCAACUUAUGGUAAAAGAAAUAGAUUUGGGGCAUCACCCUCUGCCAA